GUUAGGGUUGGGGUGAGGGUUCCAAGCUGUACGCCCGGAGCCCUCGUGCACGGACCAUUUCUGUCCCCACGCAGAUCUCGCUCUCCCCUCUGGGUUGACCAUCUGGGAUUCGUCUGCACGGCUGUUGCUCUGACUGAAUCCCAUCCGUGGGAAAUGAAAUGUUGUACCAGUCUCCCCAACGUACUGUAUCCCACAGGUGGAGCAGGAGAUAACAUAAAUGCAGUUUUGAGAGUGGGGGCUCCCCCUGCAUAGAGACGGAAACACAUUUUUGUUGUGGUGGCUGCAAAUCCAAUCCAAAUGUUUGAAAAAAGAGGUGAGUGCUCUGGAUUUUGGUUGUGUAGGGGGAGGAAGUUUGGCUCUAAUUAAAAUGUCCUUAAGAUUUUUGUUUCUCCUGUAGGCUGGCAGAAAUCUGUGCUCCUCGAGCAGCCCCUGGCUCUGAACAAGAUCCCGGAAGUUCCUCCUGAGGACUCUCACCAUCCUGCACGU